CUGACCCUGCCAAGAGUGCGGAGGGGGCGGGGGCGGAGUCGCCAUCUUGGACCCGGCUCGUCCCCGUCUAGUGACCGGCGGCGCUGGGCAAGGCUGUGCGCAGGGGGUCGGGAAGCACAAAGAAGUUAAGUAACUUGCCCAGGUUCACACCAAGAUUUGAAGCCAGGUAGUCUUACUGCAGAGCCUAUGUGCUUAGCCAUCUCCAAUGCUGGCCUCAUGCUCAUUCGUUUGCCUGGAUCUUACCAGAUGCAUCCAGAUUCCCUGUCUAUGCCAAGAACAGUGUCUUUCUCAUAACAGGUGUGCAGUAAAUACUGAGUUGGUGCUUGAAGCAGAGAGCACACCACUGCAAUAUAGUGAAUGGUUGUGUCCCUCCAAGAUUCAUGUGUUCAAAUCCUAACCUCCAAUGUGAUGGAGAAGUCAACAGUCUGCAACCUGGAAGAGGACCCUUACCAGACACUGAAUCUGCUGGUGCCUUGAUCUUGGACUUCAUACCCUCCAGAAUUG